rnacentral:ncRNA from 5 species
UACGAAGGGUGCAAGCGUUAAUCGGAAUUACUGGGCGUAAAGCGCGCGUAGGUGGUUCGUUAAGUUGGAUGUGAAAGCCCCGGGCUCAACCUGGGAACUGCAUCCAAAACUGGCGAGCUAGAGUAUGGCAGAGGGUGGUGGAAUUUCCUGUGUAGCGGUGAAAUGCGUAGAUAUAGGAAGGAACACCAGUGGCGAAGGCGACCACCUGGGCUAAUACUGACACUGAGGUGCGAAAGCGUGGGGAGCAAACAGG